rnacentral:rRNA from 1 species
UAUGUAGGUUUCUUAAUAAGUCGAGCGUGAAAUCCCAUGGCUCAACCAUGGAACUGCACUCGAUACUGUUAAGAUUGAGUAUGGAAGAGGAGAGUGGAAUUCCCGGUGUAAGGGUGAAAUCUGUAGAUAUCGGGAGGAACACCAGUGGCGAAAGCGGCUCUCUGGUCCAAUACUGACACUGAAAUACGAAAGCAAGGGGAGCAAACAGGAUUAGAUACCCUGGUAGUCC